rnacentral:rRNA from 1 species
GACGAACGCUGGCGGCGUGCUUAACACAUGCAAGUCGAACGGCAGCACGGGUGCUUGCACCUGGUGGCGAGUGGCGAACGGGUGAGUAAUAUAUCGGAACGUAUCCAAUAAUGGGGGAUAACUAGCCGAAAGGUUAGCUAAUACCGCAUACGCCCUGAGGGGGAAAGCUGGGGAUCGUAAGACCUAGCGUUGAUGGAGCGGCCGAUAUCUGAUUAGCUAGUUGGUGGGGUAAGAGCCUACCAAGGCGACGAUCAGUAGCUGGUCUGAGAGGACGACCAGCCACACUGGAACUGAGACACGGUCCAGACUCCUACGGGAGGCAGCAGUGGGGAAUUUUGGACAAUGGGGGCAACCCUGAUCCAGCCAUUCCGCGUGAGUGAAGAAGGCCUUCGGGUUGUAAAGCUCUUUCGCAAGGGAAGAAAACUCGAUCUCUAAUAUAGGUUGAGGCUGACGGUACCUUGAUAAGAAGCACCGGCUAACUACGUGCCAGCCGCCGCGGUAA